rnacentral:rRNA from 1 species
GGGGCAGGGGGGGAAGACUGCAGUCGAAGGUGACUAGUUGGCAGCAAUGUUGGCUAGUUGUAGUGGCGAAAGGGUGAGUAACACGUGGGUAAUCUGCCGUGAAGUUGGGAAUAACCUCGAGAAAUCGUGGCUAAUGCCGGAUGUGAUCCUUUGGAGGCAUCUUCGAAGGAUUAAAGCUGGGGACCGUAAGGCCUGGCGCUUCACGAUGAGCCCGCGACCUAUCAGCUUGUUGGUGAGGUAAAAGCUUACCAAGGCAACGACGGGUAGCCGGUCUGAGAGGACGAUCGGCCACACUGGAACUGAGGCACGGUCCAGACACCUACGGGCGGCAGCAGUCGAGAAUCUUUCACAAUGGGGGAAACCCUGAUGGAGCGACGCCGCGUGGGGGAUGAAUGGCUUCGGUCCGUAAACCCCUGUCAUUUGUUAACAAACCUCGUGGGUUAAUAGCCCAUGUGCUGAUAGUAGCAAAAGAGGAAGGGACGGCUAACUCCGUGCCAGCAACCGCGGUAAUACGGAGGUCCCAAGCGUUGUUCGGAUUCACUGGGCGUAAAGGGUGCGUAGGCGGUUGGGUAAGUUCGAUGUGAAAGCUCCGGGCUCAACUCGGAAAUGGCAUUGAAAACUACCUAACUAGAGGGUCGGAAGGGAGACUGGAAUUCUUGGUGUAGCAGUGAAAUGCGUAGAUAUCAAGAGGAACACCAGUGGCGAAGGCGAGUCUCUGGACGACACCUGACGCUGAGGCACGAAAGCUAGGGGAGCAAACAGGAUUAGAUACCCUGGUAGUCCUAGCCGUAAACGGUGUGCACUUGCUGUGGGCGGAUUCGACCCCGUCCGUGGCGUAGCUAACGCGAU